CUUGCGUCUGCGCCGCGCUAUAUAAGCAGGGUCCGGGGCGGUGUUCCGCCUUUUCUACGGGAGCGGGAUGGUUGUAUCGCUGCUGCUGGCGCCCUGGGCUCGCCAGGCCACGUGCCGGUGUCCAGAGAGGGCCAUGCGUUACACUGGAAUGGGUAUAGAUGUUAGACCUGCGAUGAUUUGCGGGUCCGGAUAUCAACCAUGAAAUCUGUCAACAUCAACUGGUGGAAUUGAAUAUGAAGUUGAAGUAUUGGAUGUCUGUUUUGGGAUCAUGAUUUGAAGAUGAUCGUGAAGUAGCAGAUGAAGGCAAAGUGGAGGCCUAUCUGAACAGAAGUGCCCAAGG